GCCCCACCCAUGCAACUAUAUGCGUGACACCUGCCUCGAAUCAAAUUCCCAUUAACAAAUAGUUUCACUCAUCUUAAAAUUCUUAUAAGCAGAGACUACAAAACGUGAAUUCUUCCUGUCGGGAUUGGAGAAUCACGAAGCAAUCUCACCUCCCUCUUCAAAAAAGUUGGCAAUGCAAAAGCAGCUUUGUGAAUCUCUGAGUUAUAGAACCUAAGUUCUCUUUUAUAUUUGACUGCUCCUUCUAACUUCUCAAUAGGAUUGACAGGAUUCAAGAAAUCAAC
rnacentral:misc_RNA from 1 species